GGGGAUGUAGCUCAGUGGUAGAGUGUAUGCUUUGCAUGUAUGAAGUCUAGCAUUCAAUCCCCUGCAUCUAUA